AAACGACGCCGUUUUGAACGCGGGUCGGGUCGACCCGACCCGCACCAGGGAGGAUCCGCGUGUUUUUCUUUGGAAGGGCUAAUUGCACUUUUAGCCCUUCCGCUUUUUCGGGAGUUUACAAUCAAGCUUUUCUUUAUUUUUAAUCUGGCUCCAUGGUUUCGCCCCGAAUUCAUUCUGGUCCCUCAUGCUGCGCAGCGUUU
rnacentral:lncRNA from 1 species